ACUCAAAUGAAUAGACGGGGGCCCGCACAAGCGGAGGAACAUGUGGUUUAAUUCGAUGAUACGCGAGGAACCUUACCCGGGCUAGAACGCAGAGGGAAUAUAUGGGAAACUGUAUAGCCAGCAAUGGUCGUCUGCGAGGUGCUGCAUGGUUGUCGUCAGCUCGUGCCGUGAGGUGUCGGCUUAAGUGCCAUAACGAGCGCAACCCUUAUUGUUAGUUGCCAGCGGGUCAUGCCGGGGACUCUAGCAAAACUGCCGGCGUAAGCUGUGAGGAAGGUGGGGAUGACGUCAAAUCAGCACGGCCCUUACGUCCGGGGCGACACACGUGUUACAAUGGGGAGUACAGAGGGUUGCUACCACGCGAGUGGAUGCUAAUCCCAAAAUCUCCUCUCAGUUCGGAUCGAAGUCUGCAACUCGACUUCGUGAAGCUGGAUUCGCUAGUAAUCGCGCAUCAGCCACGGCGCGGUGAAUACGUUCCCGGGCCUUGUACACACCGCCCGU
rnacentral:rRNA from 1 species